rnacentral:rRNA from 1 species
UUCCUACGGGAGGCAGCAGUGGGGAAUAUUGCACAAUGGGCGAAAGCCUGAUGCAGCGACGCCGCGUGAGGGAUGACGGCCUUCGGGUUGUAAACCUCUUUCAGCAGGGAAGAAGCGCAAGUGACGGUACCUGCAGAAGAAGCACCGGCUAACUACGUGCCAGCAGCCGCGGUAAUACGUAGGGUGCGAGCGUUGUCCGGAAUUAUUGGGCGUAAAGAGCUUGUAGGCGGUUUGUCGCGUCUGCUGUGAAAAUCCGGGGCUCAACCCCGGACUUGCAGUGGGUACGGGCAGACUAGAGUGUGGUAGGGGAGACUGGAAUUCCUGGUGUAGCGGUGGAAUGCGCAGAUAUCAGGAGGAACACCGAUGGCGAAGGCAGGUCUCUGGGCCACUACUGACGCUGAGAAGCGAAAGCAUGGGGAGCGAACAGGAUUAGAUACCCUGGUAGUCCAUGCCGUAAACGUUGGGCGCUAGGUGUGGGGCUCAUUCCACGAGUUCCGUGCCGCAGCUAACGCAUUAAGCGCCCCGCCUGGGGAGUACGGCCGCAAGGCUAAAACUCAAAGGAAUUGACGGGGGCCCGCACAAGCGGCGGAGCAUGCGGAUUAAUUCGAUGCAACGCGAAGAACCUUACCAAGGCUUGACAUACACCGGACACAUCCAGAGAUGGGUGCUUCUUCGGACUGGUGUACAGGUGGUGCAUGGCUGUCGUCAGCUC